AUUGAACGCUGGCGGCAUGCCUUACACAUGCAAGUCGAGCGGCAGCGGGGGAGAAGCUUGCUUUUCCUGCCGGCGAGUGGCGCACGGGUGAGUAAUACAUCGGAACGUGCCCUGUAGUGGGGGAUAACUAGUCGAAAGAUUAGCUAAUACCGCAUACGACCUGAGGGUGAAAGUGGGGGACCGCAAGGCCUCAUGCUAUAGGAGCGGCCGAUGUCUGAUUAGCUAGUUGGUGGGGUAAAGGCCUACCAAGGCGACGAUCAGUAGCUGGUCUGAGAGGACGAUCAGCCACACUGGGACUGAGACACGGCCCAGACUCCUACGGGAGGCAGCAGUGGGGAAUUUUGGACAAUGGGCGAAAGCCUGAUCCAGCGAUGCCGCGUGUGUGAAGAAGGCCUUCGGGUUGUAAAGCACUUUUGUCCGGAAAGAAAUGGCUCUGGUUAAUACCUGGGGUCGAUGACGGUACCGGAAGAAUAAGGACCGGCUAACUACGUGCCAGCAGCCGCCGUAAAAC
rnacentral:rRNA from 1 species